ACCCACUGAAAUUUUAAGUAAAUCGAUAAUAAAAAGCUUUAACGAAAUAAUACUCUAGCUGCGCGAUCGAUUUCCCAAAGCUUCUCAGAUGUAUAUAAAUUGCACAAACUUAAUACACCACAGAGGUAAGACUUUAACAAAAGUCUACAGUCGAUAAUGGCAAUAUUCCAAAGCUGCUACUUCAAUACAAAUAACUGUGGAGCUUGAACUUGGAUAAUCGGUAGAAGAAUGAAGAACCCCUUUCUACACUACGUUCCCAAUAAAAAGCUAUUAUCCUUCUGUCGCCUGUUAGCCACACCAGAACCAAGAAAAGGCAAACUUAUCAACCAAGACUCAUUAGUUUGAUGAGUUUACUGCUAAUACUGCAAUUUAAUCAGUUUUUAUGCUAUGCUGCAUCAAACUGCAAUAUAAAUCAAUAGGAAGCCAAUCAAAUUUCAGCCUAAUACGAAGCGUAAGAAAUGCUAUUGACCAGGAAAACAUAGAAUAACUUUCACAAAGUAGAAAUGACUUGAGACGUUCUCUCCAUACAGAGUGCAGAAUAUGCUAAUGGGUAAAAAAAUGAAAAUGCAUUUAGUUCACUACUACAUCCCUGCACCAAGAGGAUACUAUUUUCUUGUAGACCAAAGACCAAAAGACUAUGCCGUUCAAGCUACUGCAGUUUUAAAGAAACAUAAGUCUCUAAGAAAGUAACUCAAGACUAGAAAAGCUAAUAUUUAACCAUUUAGAAAUAGGAGAGAACUUGCAAAAUGGCAUCCAGAGGGCAGAACUUCAGGUUUAGUUCAAGUCAAA
rnacentral:lncRNA from 1 species